rnacentral:rRNA from 1 species
AACCAGCCGGCACCAUCCGGUAAGGCUAAAUACUCCUGAGAGACCGAUAGUGAACCAGUACCGUGAGGGAAAGGUGAAAAGAACCCUGAACAAGGGAGUGAAAUAGAACCUGAAACCGUACGCUUACAAGCGGAGGGAGCCUACGGGUGACCUCGUGCCUUUUGCAUAAUGAUCCUACGAGUUACUCCUCACUAGCGAGGUUAAGCAUUUAAGAUGCGUAGCCGAAGCGAAAGCGAGUCUGAAUAGGGCGAACUAGUUAGUGGGGGUAGACGCGAAACUUGGUGAUCUACCCAUGAGCAGGUUGAAGUUGCAGUAACAUGUAAUGGAGGACCGAACCAGUAAACGUUGAAAAGUUUUUGGAUGACUUGUGGGUAGGGGUGAAAGGCCAAUCAAACUGAGAGAUAGCUCGUACUCCCCGAAAUGCAUUUAGGUGCAGCGUUGAGGAUUAUAGUUAUAGAGGUAGAGCUACUGAUUGGGCUAGGGGGCUUCACCGCCUACCAAACCCUAAUAAACUCCGAAUGCUAUAACUUUUACUCAGCAGUGAGGGCAUGGGUGCUAAGGUCCAUGUCCGAGAGGGAAAGAACCCGGACCAUCAGCUAAGGUCCCCAAAUAUGUGCUAAGUUGACAAAACGCGGUGGGACUGCACAGACAGCCAGGAUGUUGGCUUGGAAGCAGCCAUU